rnacentral:rRNA from 1 species
GACUAACGCUGGCGGCGUGCCUAACACAUGCAAGUCGAGCGGGGUAGCAAUACCCAGCGGCAGACGGGUGAGUAACACGUAGUCAACCUUCCCUUGCGUGGGGGAUAACUAGCCGAAAGGUUAGCUAAUACCGCAUACGAUCUUCAUCGGCAUCGUUGAAGAUGAAAGAAGCAAUUCGCGCGAGGACGGGACUGCGUCCCAUUAGCUAGAUGGUGGGGUAACGGCCUACCAUGGCGACGAUGGGUAGCUGGUUUGAGAGAGCGACCAGCCACACUGG